rnacentral:rRNA from 1 species
AGCGAACGCUGGCGGCAGGCCUAACACAUGCAAGUCGAGCGGCCGUAGCAAUACGGCAGCGGCAGACGGGAGAGUAACACGUGGGAACGCGCCCUUCGGUCUGGAAUAACCCAGGGAAACUUGGGCUAAUACCGGAUACGCCCUUACGGGGAAAGAUUUAUUGCCGAAGGAACGGCCCGCGUCCGAUUAGCUAGUUGGUGAGGUAACGGCUCACCUAGGCGACGAUCGGUAGCUGGUCUGAGAGGAUGACCAGCCUCACUGGGACUGAGACACGGCCCAGACUCCUACGGGAGGCAGCAGUGGGGAAUAUUGGACAAUGGGCGCAAGCCUGAUCCAGCCAUGCCGCGUGGGUGAUGAAGGCCCUAGGGCUGUAAAGCCCUUUCAGCGGGGAAGAUAAUGACGGUACCCGCAGAAGAAGCCCCGGCUAACUUCGUGCCAGCAGCCGCGGUAAAAC